rnacentral:rRNA from 1 species
GACGAACGCUGGCGGCGUGCUUAACACAUGCAAGUCGAACGGGCCUUGUCCCCUUUUUUUUUGGGGGUGGGGUUAGUGGCGAACGGGUGAGUAACACGUGAGUAACCUGCCCCUCACUUCUGGAUAACCGCUUGAAAGGGUGGCUAAUACGGGGUGUUCUGGCCUGCUCGCAUGGGUGGGUUUGGAAAGAUUCGACCGGUUUUGGUUGUUUUGGUGGGGGAUGGGCUCGCGGCCUAUCAGCUUGUUGGUGGGGUGAUGGCCUGCCAAGGCUUUGACGGGUAGCCCGCCUGAGAGGGUGGGCGGUCACACUGGGACCGAGACACGGCCCAGACUCCUACGGGAGGCAGCAGUGGGGGAUAUUGCACGAUGGGCGCAAGCCUGAUGCAGCGACGCCGCGUGAGGGAUGGAGGCCUUCGGGUUGUGAACCUCUUUCGCCAGUGAAGAAGGUCCUGCUCUUUGUGGUGGGGUUGACGGUAGCUGGGUUAAUGAAGCGCCGGCUAACUACGUG